rnacentral:rRNA from 1 species
GAUGAACGCUGGCGGCGUGCCUAAUACAUGCAAGUCGAGCGAACAGACGAGGAGCUUGCUCCUCUGACGUUAGCGGCGGACGGGUGAGUAACACGUGGAUAACCUCCCUAUAAGACUGGGAUAACUUCGGGAAACCGGAGCUAAUACCGGAUAAUAUAUUGAACCGCAUGGUUCAAUAGUGAAAGACGGUUUUGCUGUCACUUAUAGAUGGAUCCGCGCCGCAUUAGCUAGUUGGUAAGGUAACGGCUUACCCAGGCAACGAUGCGUAGCCGACCUGAGAGGGUGAUCGGCCACACUGGAACUGAGACACGGUCCAGACUCCUACGGGAGGCAGCAGUAGGGAAUCUUCCGCAAUGGGCGAGAGCCUGACGGAGCAACGCGGCGUGAGUGAUGAAGGUCUUCGGAUCGUAAAACUCUGUUAUUAGGGAAGAACAAAUGUGUAAGUAACUAUGCACGUCUUGACGGUACCUAAUCAGAAAGCCACGGCUAACUACGUG